GCACUUUAAGCAGUGAAGAAGACUCCAUGGUUAAUACCCAUGGACGAUGACAUUAGCUGCAGAAUAAGCACCGGCUAACUCUGUGCCAGCAGCCGCGGUAAUACAGAGGGUGCAAGCGUUAAUCGGAAUUACUGGGCGUAAAGCGAGCGUAGGUGGCUUGAUAAGUCAGAUGUGAAAUCCCCGGGCUCAACCUGGGAACUGCAUCUGAAACUGUCGUGCUAGAGUAUGUGAGAGGAAGGUAGAAUUCCAGGUGUAGCGGUGAAAUGCGUAGAGAUCUGGAGGAAUACCGAUGGCGAAGGCAGCCUUCUGGCAUCAUACUGACACUGAGGCUCGAAAGCGUGGGUAGCAAACAGGAUUAGAUACCCUGGUAGUCCACGCCGUAAACGAUGUCUACUAGUCGUUGG
rnacentral:rRNA from 1 species